UACGUAGGUGGCAAGCGUUGUCCGGAUUUACUGGGCGUAAAGGGCGCGCAGGCGGCCAGACAAGUCAGAUGUGAAAUCCCCGGGCUCAACCUGGGAACUGCAUUUGUGACUGCACAGCUGGAGUGCGGCAGAGGGGGAUGGAAUUCCGCGUGUAGCAGUGAAAUGCGUAGAUAUGCGGAGGAACACCGAUGGCGAAGGCAAUCCCCUGGGCCUGCACUGACGCUCAUGCACGAAAGCGUGGGGAGCAAACAGG
rnacentral:rRNA from 1 species